CGGCGGACGGGUGAGUAACACGUGGAUAACCUACCUAUAAGACUGGGAUAACUUCGGGAAACCGGAGCUAAUACCGGAUAAUAUAUUGAACCGCAUGGUUCAAUAGUGAAAGACGGUUUUGCUGUCACUUAUAGAUGGAUCCGCGCCGCAUUAGCUAGUUGGUACGGUAACGGCUUACCAAGGCAACGAUGCGUAGCCGACCUGAGAGGGUGAUCGGCCACACUGGAACUGAGACACGGUCCAG
rnacentral:rRNA from 1 species